AGAAGAGCUAGGGUUUCAGCCGGGUCGCGAUAGGGAGAGCGGCGGCGGAGGGGAGAAGAGCUAGGGUUCAGCCACGCGAGAAAAACGGCCGGUCCACGCUUAUAUACGAGCCGGUGAGCACAGUAUUUUCUGGUGAACAGUAAGGCCCGAAAACUGAAAUUUUGGCCCAGGCCCGUUUAGUUCCGAAAAACGGAAAAGUAGCCCACAGGCCGAAAUCUUUUCGGUUUUCGCCUGAUCUAAACAAGGC
rnacentral:lncRNA from 1 species